ensembl:lncRNA
AGAUAACCCAACUCCCUCACAAAAACACGUCCUGUCCAAUGAGAACACAAGUAAUCUUUUUGAAACGGUCAACGAGUUGGUUAGGGUAGCUAAGUAUAUUGAAAGUCUGAGCAACUUUUGUUGGAUAAUUUGAUACAUGAGUAUUUGUUCCAGCUACCUGAGUUAGUUGACCGUAAACCCUCCAAGCGCUCAGUGGUUAAGAUUAUGGCCACUAACAAGGAGAAUCUGAACAUCUCAAGUAGUCAUCUCUGGGGUCAUGCAGGUGAUUCUGCUUUGAAGCAGAAAGCACUGAAUUUGCCUCUUGGGUCUGUGGAACAAAGAAGUCCUUUAAGAGUAAAUGUCAGUGUCAAUCAAUGCCAUUCCUCCAAUUCCAAGCCCUUUUGUGCUAUGUCCAGCAACCAGACAUUCCAAAAUAACCAGUCUAUUAUGUCUAAAAGCAGCAGCAAAAUGACUAGUUUGACAGCUCAGACUGGUCCGCACCCAACAAUCUUGACUCCCCCUUGGCCAAAUACAGACAGCCCAUGCAUGUCUCUCAAUAUGGAGACCCUGCCAGUAUCUGAUUUUGUAACAUCACCUCUUCCUGACAGCAGUCACUCACUUACACCAUCACAGUUUAAUGGGGUGUUCGGAGCCAAGUCACUGGCCAUUAACCCAAAAACCACAUUCACACCAAGAACCAUGCUCUCCCCAUUUUUUAAAUACGUCCAUUUGCCAUUACACAGGCAGAGCUAUUGCUGCCCAGGCUCGAGUUCCAUGCAUGCCUCAAAGAACUGGAAUAUUGAAGAUGAAACUUUACCAAACUGCAGUGGAAUAAGUUGUUUUGAGGACACUGUAGACACUUCUUGCUUCUUACCUGUGGUGGUAGAGCCCUCCCUUGGCCGUCCUGCAAUGGAUAUGUCUCGCACACAACCAGUUACUUUUCUGUCUAUGAAAGAGAGUUUUCAUACAACAGAAAAGGAUGCCCAUAAUGAUUUGCAUAAGGGCUUGAAUUCUUGUAUCAGUUUGCUGGAAAGUCCACUGCCAAAAGCUCUUGGGGAGAAAUUGCUCAAUGCUUCAAGCUUCUCCAGAUCUUCGCUGGAGGAUACACGCAACAUUGUCUCUAUGAAAGACAGUGUCAGUAAUGCAGAAGAUGAUGAUUGCUGUGAAGAGUUGCAUAAGGGCUCUUUUUGUCUCAGUUUGCAGGAAGGUCCAGUGCCAAAAGCUCUCGGGGAGACUAUAUCGCUCAUUAGCUCAAGCUUUUCCAGAUUGUCCCAAAAGGGAGCACAUGACUUAUUUGAGGGCAGCACCCAAAGUCAGGAUUCAUUAGAACAUCAGGUACAAAACCUGACCAGAGAGGUUGCAAUGCCGGCUCUGGUCCAAAGUUCUUGUGUUGCCUCUUCUGGUGUCACAGACACAAACCUCACCCACAUAGUUGUGCCUGAUGGUGAGGUGUUUGCUUCCUGCACAGUGCCGCUGUCCUGUUCGGUAUCUGGUUCCUUGUUUGAUUCAGGGUGUGAUGACAAGAGGAUGAACUCUAACAAUGGCACUUUUGAAUGUCUGGCUGAACCAACACUGGAGUUCAAGACUGGAACCCACUUCCUUACCAAGCCCAAUGCCAUAACUGCUGAAAUGAGAUCUGUGGAAAUCAGACCCCUGAAUGGCACAUUUGAAGCUUGCCCCCCUAUGAUGUGCAGUGAAAAUUCUCAUGUGACCUGUGUUGGCAAUGAGCACCCUUUCAGCAAUCCUGAGACUAAGAUUCAAACUGACACUGAACCAACGAGUGCUGAUAUUGAUUUUGCUGAACCCCUGGCACAGCUUCAACCAGGCUCAUCCAGGGAACAUAGGCUUUCCGGAGGUCUUUGUAGUCAAAGUGUUGAUUUGGAGAACCAAAAAAUGGACACCUUCACCUUGGAUGACACUCUGGAGUUAGAUCCAAACAUACUGGUAACGUCCACUCCCAUGGCUGUUGGGAAACCAGAGAGGACCUCAGACGUCCGUAAAAGGCAAUCUUCGGGCUUCCAGCCAAAACAAGCCCAACUGCCAGCUGCCUCAAACAUUGUCACUAAUAGAAAGUUGUUACUUCAGCCACUGAGUGCCAUGUCCCAUCCCAAAUCACGUCUACCCCCACCAAGAACUGUGUCACAGCUUCCAGCGCUGGCUGGACAGUCGAAGACCAAGCCGGCCCAUAUGCCUCUGGCCCCUGUGGCCUUAGCCCACUCGGAGCCAUUCCCUGCUAUGCCUGGUAAUGGAAGCAAAACAGGUGAAGGUCCUUUGGGGAAUGUUGCAGCCACUGUUACUCAGCAGGCUUUGGCAGAUAAGAUUUCCAGUAUUCGGCAGAACACAGUUCCAGAGUCCAAGCUGAUGAGCACUGGUCUGAUAAAACCACAAGCAUCUGGCUUGCAGCCUGGCACUCAGAGAUGCAUGCCUAAUCUCCGGCUUCCCGCAGUAAUAGUGGCCACCCGCUCCACUACCAAACCCAGCCUGUCUGCAGGUAUAAGUCGGAAGAGUUUACAAGCACCCAGCCAAAGCCACAAGCACUUGGCAACCAGCAGUUGUGCUUUACCAGUAGCAAAGAGGAAAAAACUUAGAGAGGAUUGUCCAAGUCUGGCUAAUCACAGUAAUGCCAGGAAAAGCUCUGCUAGGUGUGGGAUGAAGCCUGUAACCAACCUGAAGGCCGCACCAGCAAAAAAACAGACCUCUGGCUGUGCAAACUGUGUGCUACUUCAACAAGAGCUGGAAAAGUGUCGGCAAGAGCUCAAGUGUCACCAAGAAAAAGAUGCCAGAAGCAGGUGAUCUAUUGUCAUUUUUCAACCUAUAUCCAAAAUGUAUUUCAGAACUACAAAAUGAGAUGUGUUGGAAGACACCAUUACAAUGGAUAGCCCAGCUGAAUUAUUGCCAGCAAAGAUGAAUCUAACAGAUUUUUAACCUUGCAUUAAUAAAAUGUGUGCUAUAAGAAAAGGUAAUGAAGGUAAUAGGUAAUAGGUAAUAAUAUUGUGGGGAAUUCUUAAAGUAACUCUACUUAAGGUUUAUUUGCAUCAAUGGCAGCUGCUAUCAUCUUGUUUUUGGAUCAUCUUGCUGCUAUCAUCUGGUCAUUGGAUGUUAUUUUUUGAGUAAUUGGUUUUUUAUUGUAAAGUUAACAUUAGUUGUGCAACUAGCUAGCAAAUUUGCAAGUCAUGUCUUCUAAUCUUUGUCUAGUUUAUGUAAUAAGACCGUAGUUAAUAGUUUUUCUGUUGAUGUACUUAUUCUUUACAAUUAAAACAGAUGUCAGUUAAAAUAAAAGUAAUCAUGCAUGUUUUAUUUUUCUUGUAAAGUGUCCAAUAUCAAAGAGGGAUAGAAUUGUUAGGGCUUGUUACAGGGCAUUGCAGGAAAGUGAGGUGGCACACGAGCUUGAGGUCUAUUAGCUCAAGGAAGAUUUAAUCAGUUUUCAGAAAUGUGUCAGGUGCUACAAUACCAUUUUGAUUUUAAUCUACUUAAGUAUUGAGACCUUAAAGUAAAAAUUGCCCAAGGCAUAUGAAAAUAGGAUUAGAAGUGGCAACAUUUCAGAAUGUCACCUUUUCUUUCAAUUCAAUUUCAGCGCUUAUUUUAACUCAGAAUAACAGAGUUAUAAUCAGAGUUUCCCCCCCCCCCCCCCCCCCCCCCCAAUUUUAUUUAGACAUUUGGCUUACAGGUGUUUUUAAUUGCUCAGAUGUUUCCUGUUGAAAUGAUUGGUCACAUGUGAAAGAGCUGUGAAUUUGUAGUUUCAGUUCCAUCUCUUGCUUUUGCCAAUGGAGUCUAUUUUUUGGUUUCAGUAAGCACUGAAACACCCUACUCUAAUGCAUGCACUGUUUGCACAAGCUAGGAUUGACACAAGAAAUAGUGAAACCGAGUUUAUGAGACAGCGGAGAAGUAUUAAAUCAGAAUGACUGAUGAGUUGUCACUCAACGUCAUUGUUGCCUUGGUUACGGAAACUCAGGCGCUCAGUAACUUUGAGUUGCAGUUCUCCCAGAUACACAAGUUGACAGUUCUGUAAGCAGAAGACCCCCCCCCCCUCUGUAUCUGCAAACUGUGUUUGUAUGUGUGAGAAAAAUGUAACCAAUAUCCCACUUGGCGAAAAGUCAAGUCACCUUUUUAUUUAUAUAGCACUUUUAAAAACCACCGGGCAUCAGUGAGCUCCUGGACAGUCUGUGGUGCUACUUGGCAGCGUUGAAUGCACCGAUGCAUAACUGUAGAGGGAGAUGGAUUAACAUCUCCCCAUAGUCUCAAGAGCAUGGAGGAGAUACCAGGAGACAGGCCAUUACAUCGCAGUCCAGAAUACACAGCACUGUAAGCCCAUUGGCUAAUUACUGCCGUGUUUUGACUGAACGUGAAGGCAUUGAUGCCAUUGACUGGCCCUCACGUUCCCCAGACCUUAAUCCAAUUGAGAACCUCUGGGACGUUAUGCAUCGGUGCAUUCGAUGCUGCCUGCCAAGUAGCACCACAGACUGUCCAGGAGCUCACUGAUAUCUUGAUCCUUGGUGUGAGUUUGAAUCCAGACCUCAAUUGGUUGAUUUGUAGCGCUUUUGCAAAGAAGAGUGGGCAAAUAUUGCCACGUCAAUAUGUGCCAUGUUAAUAGACCCCAAAAAGACUGAGUGCUGUAAUAAAAUCAAAAGGUGCAAAGUAUUAGUUUUAGGGUGUGCACACUUAUGCAACCAGGUUAUCGUAAGGUUUUUAUUUUUCAUUUUCCCUCCUCAAAGAUGUUUGUUUUUCAAUUUAAUUGUUCACAUUAUAGGUCACAUUAAAAGUGGAAAAUG